rnacentral:rRNA from 1 species
GUCUACGGCCACGCCACCCUGAACAAGCCCGAUCCCAUCUGAUCUCAAAAGCUAAGCAGGGUCGGGCCUGGUUAGUACUUGGAUGGUUAGUACUUGGACCACCUAGGAAGACCAGGUGCUGUAGGUG